CAGCGCAGGGACCUCCGUAAUCUGCUGCCCUAUGAUGAUCAGAGAGGAGGCGGAGCCAGUGACCUGUACUACCAAUCAGACAACUGGAGGGGGCGGGGCUUAGAUCAUGCUCUGCAGCGAUUGGUGGAAAAAAUCAGCGGAGGGAACAGGAGGAGGAACAGCGAGCAGCCUACCUGGCCGCUCUGCUCCGCCUCCUGAGCGAAGCACAGAACGCAGGAUUGGUGGGUCCAGGCGACGUGGAGGUGGUGGAGGUGGAGGAGGACGAGGAGGACGAUGAGGG